rnacentral:rRNA from 1 species
UAGUGCCUACGGGACGCAGCAGUGGGGAAUAUUGCACAAUGGGGGAAACCCUGAUGCAGCGACGCCGCGUGAGUGAAGAAGUAUCUCGGUAUGUAAAGCUCUAUCAGCAGGAAAGAUAAUGACGGUACCUGACUAAGAAGCCCCGGCUAACUACGUGCCAGCAGCCGCGGUAAUACGUAGGGGGCAAGCGUUAUCCGGAUUUACUGGGUGUAAAGGGAGCGUAGACGGCGCGGCAAGUCUGAAGUGAAAGGCAGGGGCUUAACCCCUGAAUUGCUUUGGAAACUGCCAUGCUAGAGUGCUGGAGG